AAAUAAUAUUCAACUUUGAUUGGUAAAGUUGAAACAAAACCUUUUGCUGCAGUUUGGAUCUGGCAGAGUAGAAGAAAACAUAUCUCUUAAAAUGAAUCCAAACUCUUUCAGGAGGAACUUCCUUUAGUUUUGUGCUUCUGUUGGCUUCUGUAAACUGUGGAUCAGUGCCGCCAGUAAAUGGGAUAUACCAGCAAGGUGGAUGGGCAUCCAUUUCAGGAAGGAAGAUGGAAGACACAUCUGGAAACUGUGGGUUUUGCAACACUGAAUGUCUUUAAAGCUGUCUGGACUGAAGACUUUGCCUGUUUAAAAUGUUUUGGAAUCCAUCCACUUUGGCUUUUCUCUGGAUUUUUCAUGGCAUUGAAAAAUGCAGUUGGACAUUUAUCCCACUUAUUGGAGCCCUCAAUUUUAUUUCCAUCUGGAAUCACACACCAAUACUUGUGGGGCAAUUAA
rnacentral:lncRNA from 1 species